rnacentral:SRP_RNA from 1 species
GCCGUGUGGGAUAACAUAGCUGAGUCCUAGCUACACGGAAGGUUGAAGGGGGAGGAUUACUUGAGCCCAGGAGUUUGGGAUGUCAUGAGCUAUGCUGAUUGGUGUGUACACCAAGGUUGGCAUGAACAUGGUGCCUUCCCAGGAGCCAGAGACCACUAACUUCUCUAAGGAGCUUGUCUUGACUCAGCUUGGAAAUGCAGUAGGUCAAAUUUCCAUGUUGAUCAGUAGUGAGACAUGGUUUGUAAUUGCCACUGCAUUCCAGCCUGGGAAACGUAGUGAGACCCCCAUCUC